GUGCUCGCUUUGGCAGGCAUGCAUGCUAAAAGUGGAACAAUACAGAGAAGAUUUUCAUGGCCCCUGCGCAAUAAUGACCUGUGAAUUCAUGAAGCUUGCAUUAGAAAA
ensembl:snRNA U6 U6 spliceosomal RNA